ACAAAGGCUUGGAAAAGAAGAAGUAGUGAUUCACACACCCAUACAGAAAGCUGCCGGUUGAUGAGAGGCGCAUGAAAGAGUGAAGAAUGAAUACGUCUUGGAGCUGCACACCGAAAUGAUACACGAUAAGAAUUAUGAGUGUUUUCGAAAGUAGGCUGUGACGUCGGGCACACGUUAUAGUGCAAAGGUCUGUGAACACGCAGAUUGAAUGAGGCUGAAUACACAGGUAAUCAGCGAAAUAAGGUGGUACCACGGUUAAUAUCGUCCUUAUC
rnacentral:ncRNA from 1 species